ensembl:lncRNA
GUUGGCAACUCCGGUGUCCAGGGCCCAGGCGAUGUGGCAUCCCACAUGGGAACCUUUUAGAGCAUUGCCACUUCACCAGAGACCUGGCUCUUGAUAGUCUUGAGCCUACCAACUUCUUUCCUCUUCCCUCUUGAAGCCCCUAAAGGCAACUCCUCAAGCAAUUCCAAAGAAACAGAGCUACUGGCACUAAGCAGACUGAUCUUCGAAUUUCCCCCGUCUCUCAGAGCCUCUCUGGUGCAUGAAAUGGAGGCAGGGGAAGAUAGAAGAUGAAGAACAAAGCUCGUAUAUCAACGCGUUACCCCACCAGGCUUCUGACUGCAUGCCCAAGGAAUAAGCCACAAGCCAAUUCACUGACCAAAGCCAAGCUGGCUGGGGACCACAGACCUGAACACAGGCUCGCUCUUUCCUCCACAUUCAGCUCCAGGACACCUGUGGGCCCAGGCGUAUGAUGCUGGGACCUGCAGGUGACCAAGGAUGAGUGAGUUCUUCUGGGGUCCCAAAACUCAGGGUCAUCUGUGAGUUGGACACAGAGCCUGGAGCAAGAACCAGGAGACAGUUUGAGAAGAGAUGGGUGUUGAGGGGCCCAACGUCUCUCCUGAAGAAGAGGGGACCAUGCGCUUGGGCAGGGUCACUACGGAGCAUUAUUCACAAUAGCCAAAAGACGGAAGCAAACUGUUGCCCAUCAAUGGAUAAAUGGAUACACAAAAAUGUGGUCUACGCAUACGAUAUCCUUCAGCCUUGCAAAGAAAGGAAACUGAUACCCAUUACAACAUAGAGGAGCCUUGAGGACAUUAUUAAGUGAAAUAAGCAGACAUGAAAGGACAAGCAUUGGCGGCUCCACCUCUCCGAGGCGUCUGCAGAGUCAGAUUCACAGAAAGCACAAGUUCCUAGGAGACAAGGGAAAAUGGGAGUUGCUAUUUGAUGGGUAUAGAGUGUGUUUCAGAAGAUGAAAACGUCCUGGAGAUCUGUUGCACAACAAUGUAAAUAUGCUAGCACUACCGCACUGUCCGCUUAAAAAUGGUUAAGACGCACACGUUAUGCUAUAUGCUUUGUAAAAUUUAAAAAUUUUUAGUGUUUGAAAUUUUAACAAUUCUGGAUGUGUACGCUGGUGAUAGU